GACCUGGUAGUAUAAUGGUAAUACACCCCUUGCAAAUAAAAGAGCACGAAAGAGUGUCAAAACUGCUUGGGGACACUCCCCGUUCGAUUCAGGGCCAGGUCA